rnacentral:lncRNA from 1 species
GUGCUGGGAUUACAGGCAUGAGCCACCGCUCCCGGCCCGGCAGGCCCCCUAGAAGAUGCCAAUCAAAAUAAACUGCAUUCUUGAGACACAGGGCAAGAAAUUAAAGCUAUCCACCUCCUCAAGGCCCAGGGACUACGUGGAAGAGACAUCGAGUCAUGAAUAUGGAAUGACUUCACCUGACUUCACUUGAAAUUCACUUAAUUUUCAACUCUGUUGGCUAUGAGAAAAGGACAUCCAGGCCUCACACAAAAAUGGAUCAAUGAAUUGAAACUCACCAAAUCACCACCACCAGACAACGGGAUGCUGAGUCUCAUUCAUCAUGAUUGCUUCCUGAAGCCUUCUGAGUUCCUGUUUCCCUACACAUUGUUACAUUUCUUCCCUGCAACAUAAACCCCCAAUUUUAGUCCAUCAAGGUUAUAGAUUUGAGACUGAUCUCCCAUUUCCUUGGCUGCAACACCCAAUUAUAGCCUUCUUGGCAAUAAUUGUUGUCUCAGUGAUUGGCUUUCUUUGUGGCCAGCAGCAGGACCUAGACUGAACACCUGAUUUUCUGGUCUCUCAAAACAGAAUUUUGGCUUUUCCAGAUUGGCAAAUAGCUCUUAGUUAAAUGUGGCUUUCAAGUAUGUGUUUACUCCUUUAUGUUUCAAUUUUCCUUCAAUUUUGGCCUGGAGAGUGUCUCAACUAAGAAGCUAAAAAGGGAAAGAAAAGAAAAGCAGUUAUGUUUUUUUCCCCUCCGGCCUAUACAAACACAUACACACCAAGGUGAGAAAUGCCUUUCUUCAUCAGUACCAUCUGGGUCAAUAUGUAAUGUUUUGUGUGGCUGAGACCUA